CCGGAAUAGCUCAGUCGGUAGAGCAGAGGANUGAAAAUCCUCGUGU
rnacentral:tRNA from 1 species